GACGUAGGGCGCGAGCGUUGUCCGGAUUUAUUGGGCGUAAAGAGCUCGUAGGCGGCUUGUCGCGUCGUCCGUGAAAACCCACAGCUCAACUGUGGGCUUGCGGUCGAUACGGGCAGGCUAGAGUUCGGUAGGGGAGACUGGAAUUCCUGGUGUAGCGGUGAAAUGCGCAGAUAUCAGGAGGAACACCGGUGGCGAAGGCGGCCACCUGGGCCGACCCUGACGCUGAGGCGCGAAGGCGUGGGGAGCGAACGGG
rnacentral:rRNA from 1 species